rnacentral:rRNA from 1 species
UACGAAGGGGGCUAGCGUUGCUCGGAAUCACUGGGCGUAAAGGGUGCGUAGGCGGGGCUUUAAGUCAGGGGUGAAAUCCUGGAGCUCAACUCCAGAACUGCCUUUGAUACUGAGGAUCUUGAGUAUGGGAGAGGUGAGUGGAACUGCGAGUGUAGAGGUGAAAUUCGUAGAUAUUCGCAAGAACACCAGUGGCGAAGGCGGCUCACUGGCCCAUUACUGACGCUGAGGCACGAAAGCGGGGGGAGCAAACAGG